rnacentral:rRNA from 1 species
ACGCACGCUGGCGGCGUGCUUAACACCUGCAAGUCGCACGGAAAGGCCCUGCUUUUGUGGGGUGCUCGAGUGGCGAACGGGUGAGUAACACGUGAGUAACCUGCCCUUGACUUUGGGAUAACUUCAGGAAACUGGGGCUAAUACCGGAUAGGAGCUCCUGCUGCAUGGUGGGGGUUGGAAAGUUUCGGCGGUUGGGGAUGGACUCGCGGCUUAUCAGCUUGUUGGUGGGGUAGUGGCUUACCAAGGCUUUGACGGGUAGCCGGCCUGAGAGGGUGACCGGCCACAUUGGGACUGAGAUACGGCCCAGACUCCUACGGGAGGCAGCAGUGGGGAAUAUUGCACAAUGGGCGGAAGCCUGAUGCAACAACGCCGCGUGCGGGAUGACGGCCUUCGGGUUGUAAACCGCUUUCGCCUGUGACGAAGCGUGAGUGACGGUAAUGGGUAAAGAAGCACCGGCUAACUACGUG